rnacentral:lncRNA from 1 species
GAAACAGUUGCGGAGCACUGACUGCCGGCCCGGUCCGGCUCCGGAGGCUGGAGAUGUAAGAAGAAGCAGCAGAGCGGAUUUUCUGUCCCUCAGUUCCCAGGACAGUGUGGCACAGUGGCUGAUGCUGGUGCCGAAGUCAGAGGAUCAGAGCUUCAGGCUGGGACAUAUCUGGAUCCUGCUGCAGCAAAUAUUCACAGUAUUUCUACAGACAGCCAGGACAGAGCUUUGAACAGGCGGUAUGUAAUCUAGAAAAGCCAUAUUUCUGUUUGGUGCUUACUAGACCUAUUUGAUGGUGUUCUUGUGAUGACAAUAAUCGUGGUGAUGUGUUUUUAUUCCAGGUUCACCGAAUCCAGCAGUGUGCUGGUCCUGGCUUACCAACCAGCUGCUUGGAAAAGAGCAGAAGUCCUCAGUUACAGACAGAUCAUCAGACUAUAUCUGUCAAAGAUCUCAGUGAAUGUGGAAAGUGUCGUGAAAAUGAGAAGCCGUUCAAAACAAGCAGAACAGAAUAACCUGGUGAGGAGAACAUGCAGGAGGCACCACCAAGUGGCAGAGGCAGGCGGCUUGCAAGACACACGGCUUUCAUCCUGAGAACAACGGAACUACUGAAGGAACUUAGCGAAGAAGGGAUGGGCAGGGGUGACAGUGGGACUUAUCCAUGUGGCUUUUGGCUUAGAGACGCAGGACAGGUGGCAGCUCUGUCCUGAAAUGGGAGCAGGAGACGCAGACUAAGCUGCAAUUGGGAGUAGGCACUGAGGGGAGGGCCGAGGCUCAGGGGGUUUGGAUUCAACUCCUCAGUGUAAAGUUGACAACCGGUGAGGUUGUACAGGAGACAGGGACAGAGGAGCUCAGACUGUGAAAGGACAGGCAGAGAAAAGCCCUGGCCCGCCCCCCCAAAAUGGUCAGAGAGGUAGCUGGAAAAUCAGAAAUAGACGACAUAUUAAAACUUGUAGCAGGCUGGGGAUGUAGCCUGGUGGUAAAGCAUGCAUGAAGCCCUGGAUUACACACACACACACACACACACACACACACAUAACUUGCUCACUGCUCCCACACAUGCUCAUUGCUUGGGUCCUGUUAUUAGAAAUAAGUUUACUUAUGACAAAAUGUGACUUGUUUAUAUAUGAAACAAGCAGCGAUUCCUCAUUUGGAUCACAGGGCUGUGAGGUUCAAAUAAAAAAAUUGAAAAUAUUUCUCAAACUUUCAGGGUGCAUGAAAUCAUUUGUAGGGCUUCUUGAACUAGACUGCUGCUUCUGGUUUGAUUAGUUUCAGGCUAGGAAGACCUGGGGUGGUGCUACCCCAAUCUAAAUGUACUCAAGAGCUUCCGAUAUCCCGGGUCCUGAACAAUCCCUUGUGAACCAUUGCAAUACCAAUGCAAAGCAGUAGGGCUUUGAAAUCGGCAAAAUUCAGUUUUCCCCCGUGUUGUUUCAUCCCUUGGUGACGCCGAAAUUUCUUUCCCCUCCUCCUCUCUAGCAGCACCGUAUGUUCAUCCAGGAGAGAAGGGUCAGCUGGGCAGGGUUUUGUAGAUUGCCUAGGAGGUGAGCAAGGACUUGAGGGGAGCUUGAUGGAGGAGGGGAGGGAAAACACGUGCUCUCUUCCGAGGAAGCGCUGAGAGCCUGGUGGCGUACCAAGUGGGGGCUUUCCCCCCAAAGUCAAGUAGGUGCAAAACGUUGCUAUUGCCAUCUUGUAAAAACCCCAUUAGAGACCCUGUGAUGCGACCCGGAGGGAAUCACAUGAGCAUUCAGAGAGGGAACAUCGGCCUCAUCCUCUGGUCCCUUUCCGAGCCCGGAGAAACGCGCGUGCCUCGACACGGCCCCUUUGGAGCCCACAAGCCGGGGGUCGGGAAACGUAUCAGCACCCGCGCGCGGCCGAGGAGCGCAGGGCCGGGACUCAGGGAAGCGGGCGGGGGAGUGAGGAG